rnacentral:lncRNA from 1 species
CGAAGCCCCAGGAAGAGGUAGAAUGUACAGUAUUUUAUGAAAUUUGACCAGGUGUGUUGCUGCUGUUCGUGUUCUUUUCAGCUGAAGGGACUGAAGUUCUAGAACCUUCUUUGGGAAGUGGUACGCACAUGCUGGGAGGAAGGCAGAGGUGCAGGUGCCAGUGUGUGCCCCGUGGCUGUGUCCGAAUGGGGCUUACACUUCUUUAUGUUCUUCGUGCUUGUCUGUAUUUUCUAUAAUAUGCAUUUUGUAAGUUAAAAGAAGCACAACCAAAAGACAAAAGUAUAAAAAAAAGUCUGGAAUUUUUCAAAUUGGGGUCCUCCUCACUUCUUUUUAAGCAUUUCUAAUUUGUUUUCAACCUGCUAGGCUCAGCUUUAUUGGCAAUGUUUUUUUAUUUUGAAAAUUAGUUGUAAAUGAACGUUUCCAACCAACGCCUCGUGUGAUUUUUUUUUUUUUUUUUUUAACCAAUUCAUCAUCUUGGCCAAAUAGUCUGGACCAAAUCAAGCAGGGGGAUGUGAGGAGGGACAUGGAGGGCAGGUAAGAGAGAGAAUAGGUGGGGAAAAAGAGAUGGAGUGAGGCAAGAUAAGGCAAAGACCCGAGAGGUGAGUUGGAGUGGGAAGAAGAGAGCAAGCGAGAACGCAGAGACCGUGCAACAAACCAGAGAAGCAGGAUGAGGAGGAGGGGCAUUCACCAAGCACUCAUCCAGCCCUUCCCAUGGACCAAGCGCCAGGUGAAUGGGGCCAGGACGCUUGCCUUCGCAGGAAAAGGGGCUGUGCGCGAGAUCACUUCUCAUCUACAGUCACUCUCCCAUCCCUGAUGCCAAACCUGACUACUGCGGCGGGGGCCCCAGAAGCAUUAUUGACCAAGGGAGAAAGUGUCUUUGAUGGCCAAUUCUGAUGCCCAGUUUGAUCCUGGCCUGGUGCUCAUUUGUCUGAAUUGAGUGCCCUGCUGUCCCCUUUGUGUCCUCUCAGUGUGAACAGGGAUAAAGGUUGAAACAGUACCCAGAGGGCUCCUCGAGAGACAGUUUCCAUCAAAGCAUCCAAAGAUAUCUCUGGGGAAGACACACC